GAUGAAGAACGCAGCGAAAUGCGAUAAGUAAUGUGAAUUGCAGAAUUCAGUGAAUCAUCGAAUCUUUGAACGCACAUUGCGCCCGCCAGUAUUCUGGCGGGCAUGCCUGUUCGAGCGUCAUUACAACCCUCAGGCCCCCGGGCCUGGCGUUGGGGAUCGGCGGAAGCCCCCUGCGGGCACAACGCCGUCCCCCAAAUACAGUGGCGGUCCCGCCGCAGCCUCCAUUGCGUAGUAGCUAACACCUCGCAACUGGAGAGCGGCGCGGCCACGCCGUAAAACACCCAACUUCUGAAUGUUGACCUCGAAUCAGGUAGGAAUACCCGCUGAACUUAAGCAUAUCAAUAAGCGGAGGA
rnacentral:misc_RNA from 1 species